CCCCGACCUCCGGGGAGGAGAGAGGGAUUGAAGGUUAAGUUGAUCUUCAAUGGCCAAUGAUUUAAUCAAUCAUGCCUGUGUAAUGAAGCCUUCAUAAAAACCUAAAAAAGGACGGGGUUUGGAGAGCUUCCUGUAAGCGAACCCGUGAAGGUUCCAGGAGGAUGGCGCACCCGGAAAGGGCGUGGAAGCUCCGCGCCCCUUCCCACAGACUUUCCCCCAUCCAUCUCUUCAUCUGGUGUUCAUCGAUAGCCUUUGUAAUGUCCUUAAUAGUAAACCGGAAAACUGGAGGAAGAAGAGAAUCACCACAUAUCGUAUUUAGAGGUCCUGCAGAAAGGGCAGAGCGAGUUUCAUGUUUGAGUGCAGCGGAUGCAUGGGCAAAGCAUUACACAGCCGCUCCAUGGAAGUGACAAUGAGCCUUGUCUUUCACACGUAACUCCAGGAACCAGGGGAAACAAAACCAAUUCCACCCAGAGGUACAGACAAAGAAGAGCACCCUCCCAAAGGAGCCCGCAUGAUAAGUGGCCACGGCGAACAUCACUGUGAUCAGUCAGAAAGGCAGGCGAGUUAUUAGCUUAGCCCUGAACCUCCUACUUAAUGUAGAACCAGUGGUGAUGGUUAACAGACCCUGGCUGCAGUGACAAGCCUGGGACCUGCUCGAGGAAAUCCAAUUGAAAAGCAGCCAAGAGGAACAACAAGCUAGAAACAGAUGUUCCAGCUACCAGGAUGUGCACGCAUUUAACCUGAACAUGUAGUUGGGGUGGGAUGGUAGCAUUCGUUUCUAAAUAUAGUGAUUUCACUUCUUCCCCCAUAUAGAUAUUGUCAAGUUUAAUUAUAGCCAUCCACAUUAGUUUUGUCAAAUUUUCAGCAAUUUCUUUAAAAUAAGAAGAUGUCAGAAUGAUAACUGCUAUUAAGGGAAUUCAGGGUGUUUGGUUUAUCUACCCAGUCUUACUAAAACAUUUCAGUUAAAUCAUCCACUCUUAAACUCCAGUCUCAUAGCAAUUAAAAAUUAUCUUUUAAAAAAUUGCCCAAAUGAAAUUCCAACAGUUCAUGUAAUUAUUUGAUUUAAUAUUACCAUGUUAGUAAAAUAUCUUUAAGAUA
rnacentral:lncRNA from 1 species